GAUAACAACAUGGCCAGGCCUCUCCUCUCCAUACUCACCUCCAUGUCAGUGACCUCCAUGUCACAACACGGUGGGGCCUUGGGUGAGUCACUGAGCCUCCCACAGCCUCAGCUUUCCCGCUUGUCAAGAAGGGAAAACAACAGUGUCCUCUCUUUGAGGCCUUUUCACACCAGUUGCCAGAUCUUGUUACCAGACAGAGCAGAUCAGAACUUACUGAAAACUAUCCCUCGGCUCCUGGUGGUUUCCAGUUUCUUCUCUGAAAGAGAGGGACCCUCCCAAGCGGGCCUCCAUCUUGCUUGCCUGGCAUUGUCCCCUCGUUCCAAUCAUGCGAAAUUCCCCGUGUCUCCGGAGCCGUCCGUCACGCUGUGUCCUGCCCCUGCCGGGACUUGAGCCACUUUCUCUGCCCUCCGCUGACUCGUACUUGCUUUUUCACUUGACAAAACCCCAGAGCUUUUUUGCACUGUCA